AUCUUCAACUUCCAAAGUCUCCUAACAGUUGUACUGUUGCUAAUUUGUACAUGUGCCUAUAUUCGAUCGAUUUACCCGGCACUUUUGGACAAAAAUAAACACGGGUUAUUAGGGAUCUUUUGGAAAGCAGCAAGAAUUGGU